GCAGGCGUGGUGGCACGUGCCUGUAGUCCCAGCUACUCAGGAGGCUGAAGUGGGAGGAUCACUUGAGUCCAGGAGUUCUGGACUGUAGUGCGCUAUGCCCAUCAGGUGUCCGCGCUAAGUUAAGUUCGGCAUCAAUGAGGUGACCUCCUGGGAGCGAGGGACCACCAGAUUGCCUAAGGAGGGGUGAACCAGCCCAGGUAGGAAAUGCAGCAGGUCAAAACUCCCAUGCUGGGCCAGGUACGGUGGCUCACACCUAUAAUCCCAGCACUUUGGGAGGCCGAGGCAGAUGGAUCACGAGGUCAAGAGAUCGAGACCAUCCUGGUCAACAUGGUGAAACUCCGUCUCUA
ensembl:misc_RNA Metazoa_SRP Metazoan signal recognition particle RNA